rnacentral:rRNA from 1 species
GACAGAGGUGCCGAGCGUUAGGCGGAAUCACUGGGCUUAAAGCGUGUGUAGGUGGAUGCCUAAGUACCUUGUGAAAUCCCCGGGCUCAACCUGGGAACUGCAUUUGUGACUGCAAGGCUGGAGUACGGCAGAGGGGGAUGGAAUUCCGCGUGUAGCAGUGAAAUGCGUAGAUAUGCGGAGGAACACCGAUGGCGAAGGCAAUCCCCUGGGCCUGUACUGACGCUCAUGCACGAAAGCGUGGGGAGCAAACAGG